rnacentral:rRNA from 1 species
UACGUAGGGUGCGAGCGUUGUCCGGAAUUACUGGGCGUAAAGAGCUCGUAGGUGGUUUGUCGCGUUGUUCGUGAAAACUCACAGCUCAACUGUGGGCGUGCGGGCGAUACGGGCAGACUGGAGUACUGCAGGGGAGACUGGAAUUCCUGGUGUAGCGGUGGAAUGCGCAGAUACCAGGAGGAACACCGGUGGCGAAGGCGGGUCUCUGGGCAGUAACUGACGCUGAGGAGCGAAAGCGUGGGGAGCGAACAGG